rnacentral:rRNA from 1 species
GAUGAACGCUGGCGGCGUGCUUAACACAUGCAAGUCGAACGGAAAGGCCCAAGCUUGCUUGGGUACUCGAGUGGCGAACGGGUGAGUAACACGUGGGUGAUCUGCCCUGCACUUCGGGAUAAGCCUGGGAAACUGGGUCUAAUACCGGAUAGGACCACAUUUUGGAUGGUGUGGUGGAAAGUUUUUCGGUGUGGGAUGAGCUCGCGGCCUAUCAGCUUGUUGGUGGGGUAAUGGCCUACUAAGGCGUCGACGGGUAGCCGGCCUGUGAGGGUGUACGGCCACAUUGGGACUGAGAGACGGCCCAGACACCUACGGGAGGCAGCAGUGGGGAAUAUUGCGCAAUGGGCGCAAGCGUGAGGCAGCGACGCCGCGUGGGGGAUGACGGCCUUCGGGUUGUAAACUCCUUUCGCUAGGGACGAAGCGUUUUUGUGACGGUACCUGGAGAAGAAGCACCGGCUAACUACGUG